UUUACAGUGUAAAUCGUUCGUGA
rnacentral:miRNA from 1 species